CCAAAACAGGAUGGGAUUAAAGUGGAAGGGUGGUAAACCUUUGGAACAAGCAUACACACCCAGGUACAGAUGGGGACUUUUUAGCAGGUGAUGAGAGAGAGAAGGACAUGGGGCUGUGCCACCUGAGGACAAAGGGAUCUGAAUGAACAGGAUAUCCUGAAAAAAUGAGGAAAUCACUACAGGCCAUCGGCUCCCUCUCAGCAUUUCCAUUGAGCAGAUUAAAAUGUGAAGGGAUAAGAAUAUAUUUCCUGGGAAUGUUUUGGUAUCUUGGAAUGGAGACCUGGUCUGAUUGCAUGUCUGGAAGAGAGAGAUAACUACUACCAAGUGUUCUUUGGAGUGUAUAUCAUCACAACAGAUCACUCACUCACCUGCUCACCUGCUCACAGAGCUUUUUUCCCUUUGCAAUAAUGCAUCAUGAUUUUAUUUUCUUUAUCCAUUUUCUUUUCUUCAUAGCUCUUUGCACUCCCACCUGAUGCCUGGAAAUUUUUCUGAGACAAUUUUGAUGUCUCCUAUGCUGACAUAAUUUCAUGCUUACCUAGGACAGUUAAAUGUUUUGGGUUUUUUCUGCAUUUUGGGUUCACAUAGAGACAUGGAGAAGAGAUGUCUUCAUUUUUUGGUAUGAAAUACAAUAUUCUGUAUUUCUUUACCUUUUUCUAUUAUCUUUGAUCUUGUUAUCUGAUUGCAGAAUAAGUGAUUCUUAUCAUAUAGUGACAUGUUUAAUAUAUUUUCAAAUUUCUGGUUCUAUUGUAUGAAGUGCUGUUGGAUCAGAAGGCUUGCUAGCUUUUUUAAGGCCACUGUGUCUUAUUAUUACAAAGUAUGCAUUUAUAUGGCCUGAAGAUUUUCUGGAGGUCUACAAAAGAAAAAAAAAAUCCAAUUAAUGUUUUAACUGGCUGCAAUCUAAAAACAAUUUUGUUUGUUUGUUUUCUUUUUUAAAAAGUAUGUAUUUCUAAAGCUGAGAAUAUCUCCAGAGGAUGCAAUACUGAAGAAAGAUAUUCAAAAGAUCACUUAAAACUUUACAUAAGUAUUAUACAGACCUAUAGUAAGAAUAAUUUUACUAAGGGGGGGUGAAAUGUCCUGCUGUUACUCUAGAUUAUGCAUUAUGUUGUUAUGCUGCAGAAAGCAAUGUGGGUUAUUUUCCCAUCUAACCUAGGAGAGUAUGUGAAUAAUCAUUUAAAUCAAGCACUGACAUCUGCCUGUGCUUUACUUGGCUUGCUUUUAAUCAACAAACUGUCAGCCUCUGAUAUUACUGUAAGUACACAGUUAAAGUGCCAAGAAAUUACAGGCCAUUUUAAGUCCUGGGUCUGUGCUGGUUAGUGAGUUAAUACAAGUGCAUCUAAGAUGUAUGCCUGAACAGAUACAGAGAAUGCUUAUUUUGGCUGGUGGAAGUACAUCCUGGAAUGUGUUUUCUGACUUAGAACAGCUUGAUGAAAAAAAGCAAAAAAAAAAAAAAAAAAGAGAGAGAGACAAGGAGUUUCUAAAUGUCUGAUUUAAAGGUUAUUAACUCACCAAGAAUUUAAAAGUAGAAUAGUUGCUGAUCUAUGAUGGGAAAAUAUGUAUAAUGAAUACAGGAACAGAAAGCAGGGGUAAAAAGAGCAAUCAGGAGGAGAGAUUUGCUGCAGUGUUAGCAUUGCACUAGCCUAUGUUUGCUCUCACUUGCCAUGGGCUCCCUGGAGCUGCUGUUCCUUGAGGUGGCCCCAGCAGCUCAGUUCACCCUUUCAGCUCUGGCAAGGUCUGCUCUGGGCCCUGGGACUUGCUUCACCAAGGAAGGCAGAGGCCAGCUGGCAGGAUGGAGCUUGGUUCAUUGGCUGUAGCGUGAUGGAAAACAUUCCCAUUCACCAGAAAGCUGUGAAUGUGAAACCCUGCCAUACCAUCCUUUUCCUUUAUUACAGCUUUUUCUUUCUUUUUCUCUCCUUUUCUUGUUCUUUCUGUUGCAGAACAGGGAGUUAGCAGGGCUUUGGGGAGUAACCCUCAGCACUUCUUCUCCAGUCUUCUUUAACUGGAGAAAACAAAGCUGGAGAGAAAGAGAGGCUGGUGUUGGGCUCAUUAGGUACUGAUCAUCAGAGAUGCCUCAGGCUUCAGAGCCCUUGUGUUAGCAGCACUCUGGGAGGAAACUCCACUGCUGAGAUGACUGCCAGCAAGGUGGCAAGUCUUCAAGGCAGAGCUGCCUUAAUUCUUGCUAGGUCUCUUCAGGCACUUGAUCAGCUGUGCAGUGUGACAGGCAGCAUUGGGAGGCCAGGUUGAUACCAUGACCUGUAGGAACUCUUGUAGAGUUACAGAAGAAACUGUCAGCUGAGAACCAGAGGGCAAAUAAAAGUGCUGCUUUGUCACUCAUCCUCCAGGCUGUAAAAAAAAAAAAAAAAAGGUCCUACUCAGCAAGAAAUCCAUUUCUGAGCAAAAUUUGAGGAUGCAAAUGUAAUAUUACAUAUAGGCACAUAUAUGAAAAUGCUGAGUUGCAGAAAGGGGAAAAAAAAAGAUGAAGCCACAUUUCCCAUUCAGAGAAGAAACACUAAAGUCUCUUAAAAUCCUGCUUCCUAUAAUGUCAAUGCAUGGUUGAACAGAUGCAUUCUCUCUCUCACUUCCCUGGCUUCUGAGACAUCAGACACUAGCUGUGGUUGGAUGCAGGAUGCUGGGCUGGCUAUGGCAGCUCUUGUGCUCCCAAGGGAUUGCUCUGCUGGAGCUGCCCCUGCUCGUCUGCAUUCAGAGAUGGAUUUAAACUGAACUGAUAAAGAAAGAAAACUUGUAUAAAGCAUACAGUAACUCAUUCUGUUAAGGAUUUGGCAUGGCAUUCAAGGGAAACCAAUUAUGAUUUAUGUCAAUACAGCACAGAUAAUUUCCCAUUGAUUGACUGCCAGAUCCUUCAUAAAAUAAUGAGUUAGGCCUGAUGCCAGUGAUUCUUGAGCACCAUCAGGCCAGUGUUUCUAUUUCAUAUGCCCUUGACAAGGCUCCUCUCAAAAAUGUGUGUGUUAAAUGAGUUUAUAAGUUCUCUUCAAAUAUGCAGGCUCAAACAAACAUAAGCUGUGAUUCCCUUACGUGUCAGUGGGGUUUUGAAAUGCAUGCCCUGUCUGGGCAUUUGGCUACAGGUCUAGCAAAAGUGAGUUUUCAUUCAUUACUUAAAAAACAAACAAACAAACAAUAGGAGUUUCUCUGUUUGCUAAGGAUUCCUCUUAGGAGAUUAGGGUAUGUUCAUAUUCCAAGUAGUUCUCAGAGAAAAGUAAGUCAUGAUCAAGCCUAAAGUUAUCUGGAAACAAAUCUCUUGAGGACUAAUUGGUGUGGGGAAAAUCCUCUGUGCUUAUCUGGAAGAGUUAUUUGCAAACUUUCUAUUGCUGUGGGCCUGACCAAUGCCAGUCACUGUGCAGUGUGCAUGUUCAUUAUUCAAGAGACAUAGAACUGAAUUUUCCUGCCCCAAGGAUGAGGAGAUGGGGGCUGGCCAUGUCUGAACAGCUUGUGCUGUGGGAUGGGUAGGUGGCUGAAUCUCCCUUUUCAAAGGUGUGAGCAGAGUGAAGGCACCAACUGGUGUUUCUGGAGAGGACAUAUACCCUCUGUCUCAGGAGAGUUUGCCACCCAAAACAGAACUUCUGCCUGGAAAGUAUCUGCAGCUAUUCUGGUCUUCUGCUCCCUUGCAAUAAGCAGACAGGUCAA